UGAACGCUGGCGGCGUGCUUAACACAUGCAAGUCGAACGAACCUUCGGGUUAGUGGCGGACGGGUGAGUAACGCGUGAGAAUCUGCCCUCAGGAGGGGGAUAACAGCUGGAAACGGCUGCUAAUACCCCAUAUGCCGCGAGGUGAAAUGAAUUUCGCCUGAGGAUGAGCUCGCGUCUGAUUAGCUAGUUGGUGUAGGUAAUGGCUCACCAAGGCAUCGAUCAGUAGCUGGUCUGAGAGGAUGAUCAGCCACACUGGGACUGAGACACGGCCCAGACUCCUACGGGAGGCAGCAGUGGGGAAUUUUCCGCAAUGGGCGAAAGCCUGACGGAGCAACGCCGCGUGAGGGAUGAAGGCCUCUGGGCUGUAAACUUCUUUUAUCAAGGAAGAAGAUCUGACGGUACUUGAUGAAUAAGCCACGG
rnacentral:rRNA from 1 species